rnacentral:rRNA from 1 species
UACGGAGGGGGCUAGCGUUGUUCGGAAUUACUGGGCGUAAAGCGCACGUAGGCGGCUUUGCAAGUUAGAGGUGAAAGCCCAGGGCUUAACCCUGGAAUUGCCUUUAAGACUGCAUCGCUAGAAUUGUGGAGAGGUGAGUGGAAUUCCGAGUGUAGAGGUGAAAUUCGUAGAUAUUGGGAAGAACACCAGUGGCGAAGGCGGCUCACUGGCCCGUAACUGACGCUGAGGCACGAAGGCCAGGGGAGCAAACGGG